GGGGUCGUAGCGUAGCAGUUAACGCGCCUUCCUGUCACGAAGGAGAUCGAGGGUGCGAAUCCCUUCGGCCCCGCCA
rnacentral:tRNA from 2 species